rnacentral:lncRNA from 1 species
CAAAUUCCUCUCAUCUUUCACUGUCCUGAUACAUCUCUAAUUCCCAGUGAGUGUAAUUACUUGAAAACUUUUAAGGCGCUCACACUUCCCUUUGCCAUGACCUUUAAUUAAAUAGGACUAUAGUCAUUUAAAAUUGGUUUUUUUAAGUUGUUGGAUUGAUUUUUUUAAAAAAGAUUAUCUGAUAAUAAGAGUACCACCAGCUUUUAUUUUAUUAUCUAAGGUGUUUGUUUUCUGUAGAUAUUAGCAGUAAAUUUACUAACAUUUUUAGAAUUUUUAUAGUCAAAGUGGUUUAUUUUUUAUUGCUUUACAGUCUGUCAUAGAAAUGUAUAGUAGUUGUAUUUUGAAAUACCAUAGCUUACUUGGUAUUAUAAAAUACUGUGACUCACAAGCCAAGUCCUCUUUGCCAUGUAAACAUAGAAACUACUAGCAUGUCAAAAGUGAAAACAUAUUUCUUUUUUUUGGAAAUACUUUACAGUUGUAAUAUAAGUAAAUUUUUUAUUUUGAUAUGUAGUAUGAAAUUUUAAUAUUGCACUAAAUAGAAUGACUUAAACCUGUAUCAUUUCAACAGAUUACAAUAGAUCUGAAUGCAUAACUUUUGUUUGUCCCAAAUGAGCAGUGAAAGGGGUAAAGUUUCCAUACCCAACACUGUUAACAGAGAAGAGAGAAUCAGCACUUUAUUUAGACAUAAACCUUUCUGGCAAAUCUGAGGAGAUAAGAAUGUGGCGUAAUAGAGUUUAAGAAAACUAAGCAGAAACUUUAAGGAGGACGGAGAGGGGGGCAGUUUAACGCCCUUUUUCUUACUCCAGCUCAAGCUCUGUAAACCAUUCUGAGACACAAGUACCAAGAGUAUGAUUUGUUUUGCUUUGUAUUUUAAAGAAACUGACAAACUUGCUAUGGUACUUGCCCUUAGGGCUUAUGACCCCUAUAUCUUCUGUUCCCAUAACUGUUCAGAAAGACUGCAAAAUCUAAAAGCACAUCAAUUGUAUUUAAAAUCUAGUUGAAAAGCUGACUGAUUUUACUUUUUCUCAGACACUGAAAUCAUUCUUUCUAAGACAGGGUGGGAAAGACGAAUAUGCUUGAUAGGAAACCUAAAACAUUGUGUGAUUGGUAACUUGUGACUUAUAUACUGUUAUUUUCAGUCUUUUAUUUGACCUUGCAUUUUUUAUUUAUAUUAAGUUUUUCCUCUUUUUUGGUUUUGUUUGAGGUUCUCUGGAGCAGUGGUUAAGCUAGCCACUUUGUAAUGUUAAGAUAUUUGUUGAGUAGUAAAGCACUGACUUUAGCCUAUUCCCUUCUUCCUUUGUUCUAGUAAAGUGCAGGAGUAAUUGAUUAAUUUGUUUUCUGUUAUUUUUAGAUAUGUAAAUUAAUAUUUAUUUAUUUAAAACACCAGUGACAAUAAACCAGUUAACUGCUGCAUUCUGCUUUUGUUAUGUUGGGUCUGUACUGUUGCAUUGUAUGAGUAAGACAGCAAAAAUGUGAAUUAAAACAUUUUAAUACACAUCUUCAGAAGAAUAA